GUGGCUCAGUGGUCUGUGAGCUUGCUGGCCUUGAAACCAGAAGGUCCUGGGUUCGAAUCCCGGC
rnacentral:tRNA from 1 species